AUGAGCUGUUUGCAUUAGUUUAUCAAGCAAGCACAGCAGUGGACAUAGAUUAAUAGAUUGUGAUGCAGAAAAAAAAAGGAAAGUAGGUUAUUCUCUGUAGGGGAGUGGGUCUCUUCCCAGUGACCCCACCACUGCCUCUGGAAACAUUCUCUGCCAGAGCUGGAAAAGAUUCUCCUGCGUCCUUGCUUCGGAUUAGCCAAGCCUGAAGUUUGGAUCCUUCCCCUGGCUACCAGGAGCUGGGAAGUGGACUAUGAAGAAUCUCUCAUCUGCUGCUCGCUCAGCCUGUUUUCAGCAAUAUUAUCAGUCCUACACACCACAUCCAUUAUUUCAUGUGGCUUCUACCCUUUUACUCUGCUGCACAAAAAUAGGGAAAUCUCCUUUUUGUCCUUCAAACCUACCACAUGGUUUGGCUGCUUUUACCUGGUAUACAUUUGAAUCAGGCCCAACUACAAUUGUGGGAGGUGAUAUCUGUUGA
rnacentral:lncRNA from 1 species